UACGUAGGGUCCGAGCGUUGUCCGGAAUUAUUGGGCGUAAAGCGCACGUAGGCGGAUCGAUCAGUCAGGGGUGAAAUCCCAGGGCUCAACCCUGGAACUGCCUUUGAUACUGUCGAUCUGGAGUAUGGAAGAGGUGAGUGGAAUUCCGAGUGUAGAGGUGAAAUUCGUAGAUAUUCGGAGGAACACCAGUGGCGAAGGCGGCUCACUGGUCCAUUACUGACGCUGAGGUGCGAAAGCGUGGGGAGCAAACAGG
rnacentral:rRNA from 1 species